rnacentral:siRNA from 1 species
UCCACCAGUGCCGCCUUCGUGGC